UACGUAGGGUGCAAGCGUUAAUCGGAAUUACUGGGCGUAAAGCGUGCGCAGGCGGUUUUGUAAGUCUGAUGUGAAAUCCCCGGGCUCAACCCGGGAAUUGCAUUGGAGACUGCAAGGCUAGAAUCUGGCAGAGGGGGGUAGAAUUCCACGUGUAGCAGUGAAAUGCGUAGAGAUGUGGAGGAACACCGAUGGCGAAGGCAGCCCCCUGGGUCAAGAUUGACGCUCAUGCACGAAAGCGUGGGGAGCAAACAGG
rnacentral:rRNA from 1 species